CAGAGAUGAUACAAACCAAGAGGCAAUUAAUUUUGAGCAAGUUGACUAGGAGAUCAUACGGAGAAACUUCUUUUUUUUUUUUUUUGUCUUUUUCCAUUUGGUUUUUGGACAAUUGAUUUGGACAUUCAAAUUGUAUAACAAGUUCAAACCAAGAGGCAAGGAUAGACGAAUUGUAAUGAAAUUGAAGGGUUGUAAAGACUAGUCACUAGAUUCCAAAAGUUUGCUGACUACUCCGUAUAUAUGUAGAGUUGAAUUGUAGGUUAGUAGGCUGUGCUUUUCCAAAGAACUAACUCGUCCCACAUCGGCUAAAAACUAAAAGACUGUACACUUGAUAUAUGUUUCGUUUACAGCUGACUUGUGUCCCUUCGGGGACAUCCGAUAAAAUUGGAACUUUACAGAGAAGAUUAGCAUGGCCCCUGCGCAAGGAUGACACGCACAAAUCGAGAAAUGGUUCAAAAUUUUUUUUGACAUUUUUAUCCCUUCUUCGACAUCUGCUUUUACAAAAACGCCCUCCUAAUUAAUCAGUUUCCCACAGUACCCAUGGCUUUCUUCCACGUGUCUAUUCAAAGCCCACCAGAAGCUUACCGUGUACCUUCCCUCUGCAACUCCAACUUCCUCUUUCAUCUCUCUCUCUCUCUCUAUAUAUAUAUACUCCAUCAAUUAUUGUUCUGGUGACUGUUGAGGGCAACAACUCGAAACCAAGAGGGAAGGAGUGUAUCAGCCCAUUUUCACCGGAAAUGGAGCAUGUAUGCAGUACGCCUUUAGGACUACGAUUUGAUCAGAGAACUGGAGAUCUUUAUAUUGCUGAUGCCUACUUGGGCCUUCAAGUAGUAGGACCUACUGGAGGUUUGGCUACUCAACCAGUGACAGAAGUUGAAGGCCAGCCCUUACGGCUCACCAACGAUAUGGACAUUUGAUGAGCAAUACUUCACAGACACGAGCACAAGCUUUCAUGUGUGAGCUCACAGAGAAUCAAAGCUUUCCUUCUUUACAAUGAAAUUUACCAGUAAGGUUAUUAUGGUUGAAAGUAACUUUUCGGGUAAGAAUUUUAAUCUCUUUACAGGCUAAUUCAAACGGCUUUUGAAGGAGAAAAAAGUAUGAGGAUGCAAAUUUUUGCUAGCACAUGAAUAUUUACAAUUGUUGAUCUUCCAAAUGCCCAAUAAGGCUUUGUUUGGAAUUUCUAGGAGGUCUGAAAACAUAGAUCAUUAGCAUGGGGACUCUAGAGUUACAGAUUCAAGGAAUAUUAGCAUUGACAGAAUGAUUAAGAUUACAAAGUGCCCUAUUAGAGGUUAAAAGGAAUUUGUAAUGCUGUGUUUACUUGCCACUAUUUUCAUCUCCAUUUAGAUUAAGUAAUUUUCUCAAGUUGCUUCCAGCCGCUGUCAUACAAAAUAAAAGCCAACUAUUGGCAAUGCUAAUAUGCUCUAAUUGUCAUUUCUUUAACAGGCAAUUCAUGGCGGCGACCAAACAAAGGCAAGUUGAUGAAAUAUGAAAAAUCAAGCAAAGAAGUAAAGAUUUCACUUUUGCCAAUGGUGUGGCCUUGAGCAAAGACCGAUCCUUUGUGCUAGUAGCCGAAACCAAUACUUGCAGGAAGUAGAGGAGAAAAAUGGGAAAAUGUGGCUUGGGUCAGUGGUUAUGCCUUUUAUUGGCAUUUAUAAUUUGUACUAAAAGAUCUACCUGAUCUGUUGGUCUGGCAUUUCCUGCUUUCCUCUUCUUUUUCUGUUUUUUUUUUUUCACCUGAAGCACAAGUUUCCAUCUGUAUGUAUUUUCUCCUUAAUAUUUUUAGGUUGAUUACAAACUUGUUUGAAUUAUAAAA